UUUCCCUUCUUCCCUGCGUCUGCGUCGAGCUCAGCCAGCAUCAGCAGAGACGCAAGCCACCUCCACAAGCUCAGCCAGUCGCACCACCUCCAUCACACGCCAGCAUCGUCUCUCUGCUCCUCCGCGCGCCACAGCCAGUAGCUCUGCUCUCUGCCAGAUCGCGUAGCGCACGGCAGCAGCACGAUCUCCACCUUGUCGCGCCACCACCGUUGCCCUGCUGCUCCGCCACUGCUCUGCCACAACAGAUCGCGCCUCUACCGACGUCACAACAGCUUUGCCGCUGCUCCAGUGCAUCUACGACCACCGCUUCACAGUUCCAGCGUGUGUACUUCGAUCCGACACGCGUAAGAAUUCCCGAUCUAGCGAAAAUUCGACAAAAGAUUAUAUUUUGGGAUCGCUCGAGUCCAUCUAGUGCUCCUCCUGGACAGAAUCAAAGCUAGAACUUCGCUCUCCAUCACUGUACUAGGAAGUUGCCGGUUCGACUGAAGCUCUGCACUCUUCUUCGCAGAGUCAUAAAUGUAAAAGUUAUAUUCCUGUUAUUUAAUUUGGAUUGUAUAAAUUAUUUUUUUUAUCUGAUUAUUAGUGAACUCCGUAGUUAUAGGGUUGUGUAUUAAUAUUGGACUUAUUGUUAGCACUACACUAUAAAUUGAAUAUUAUGUAAUUAGCUGCAGGUGAACCAAUAAGCCCAUAAUGUGAUUAUAAUUUAUUGUGAA